GAUGAAGAACGCAGCGAAAUGCGAUACGUAAUGUGAAUUGCAGAAUUCAGUGAAUCAUCGAGUCUUGAACGCACAUUGCGCCCCCUGGUAUUCCGGGGGGCAUGCCUGUCCGAGCGUCAUUGCUGCCCUCAAGCACGGCUUGUGUGUUGGGCCUCCGUCCUCCUCCCGGGGGACGGGCCCGAAAGGCAGCGGCGGCACCGCGUCCGGUCCUCGAGCGUAUGGGGCUUCGUCACCCGCUCUUGUAGGCCCGGCCGGCGCUUGCCGACACAUCAAUCUUUUUUCCAGGUUGACCUCGGAUCAGGUAGGGAUACCCGCUGAACUUAAGCAUAUCAAUAAGCGGAGGA
rnacentral:misc_RNA from 1 species